rnacentral:rRNA from 1 species
AUUAUGGAGAGUUUGAUCCUGGCUCAGGACGAACGCUGGCGGCAUGCCUAAUACAUGCAAGUCGAGCGAAUGACGAAGAAGCUUGCUUCUUCUGAUUUAGCGGCGGACGGGUGAGUAACACGUGGGUAACCUACCUUACAGAUUGGGAUAACUUCGGGAAACCGGAGCUAAUACCGAAUAAUAUUUUUCUCCUCAUGGAGAGUUAUUGAAAGACGGUUUCGGCUGUCACUGUAAGAUGGGCCCGCGGCGCAUUAGCUAGUUGGUGAGGUAACGGCUCACCAAGGCAACGAUGCGUA